GAUGAACGCUGGCGGCGUGCUUAACACAUGCAAGUCGAACGGAAAGGCCCAAGCUUGCUUGGGUACUCGAGUGGCGAACGGGUGAGUAACACGUGGGUGAUCUGCCCUGCACUUCGGGAUAAGCCUGGGAAACUGGGUCUAAUACCGGAUAGGACCACUUCUUGGAUGUUGUGGUGGAAAGUUUUUUCGGUGUGGGAUGAGCUCGCGGCCUAUCAGCUUGUUGGUGGGGUAAUGGCCUACCAAGGCGUCGACGGGUAGCCGGCCUGAGAGGGUGUACGGCCACAUGGGGCUUGAGAUCGGCCCCAGCCCCCUCCGGGGGGCGGAGGGGGGGAAUAUUGCCCAAUGGGCGCAGGCCUGAUGAAGCGCCCCGGGGUGGGGAUGACGGCCUUCGGGUUGUAAACUCCUUUCGCUAGGGACGAAGCGUUUUGUGACGGUACCUGGAGAAGAAGCACCGGCUAACUACGUG
rnacentral:rRNA from 1 species